UGGCUCACUUGUUUAGAGCAUGGUGCUAAUAAUACCAAUCCUGUGGGUUCCAUCCCCACGUGGGCCAU